CAAUAUUAUUAAUACUCAAAUUAUCUCAAUUAUCAAAAUUAUCAAUGUCUGUCAUUUUAUGAGUAGUUUUCAGCUUUCGCCUUAAAUAUCGGAGUCGAACAGUUAUUCGUCAGUGUAGUCUCGUCGGUGUGAUCCAGAUAGGAGUGCUUCCAAAGCCAACCAGGCUCAGCUACUCAGGAGAAACCGCGUAACUCAAAAGACAGCUCAACACAACUGUAACUAUUCAAGCCAGACAACAUCAAUUUGGAAUAUUACGAACAUUUUGGACUUUAACUUUAACUGUGAAUUAGUGAAAUUAGUGACUUUAUUAUUUGGAACAUUUGGACUUUAUUUAUUUGUAAAUUGUUUUGGCAUCAUUAUUAUUAUUUGGACCUGUUACUAUAUAAAAUUGUUACAACUUGCUGCUUGCUUUAUAGUUUUGCCUGCCAUUGCUUAAGUCUUGCGAAAGACUGACCCCCUGUGCCUUGGGCUGUGCAUGUUCGAUAGUCCCCCUUAAACUCGACGUGCAUUGGCUCUUGGUGACAGAUUUGGUGGCGGGCCC
rnacentral:lncRNA from 1 species